GACGAACGCUGGCGGCGUGCUUAACACAUGCAAGUCGAACGGAAAGGCCCCUUUGGGGGUACUCGAGUGGCGAACGGGUGCGUAACACGUGAGUAACCUGCCCUUGCCUUCGGGAUAACUUCAGGAAACUGGGGCUAAUACCGGAUAGGAAUCCUUGCUGCAUGGUGGGGGUUGGAAAGCUUCGGCGGUUUUGGAUGGGCUCGCGGCCUAUUGGCUUGUUGGUGGGGUAGUGGGUUACCAAGGCUUUGACGGGUAGCCGGCCUGAGGGGGCGAGCGGCGACAUUGGGACUGAGAGACGGCCCAGACUCCGACUAGAGGCAGCAGGGGGGAAUAUUGCACAAUGGGCGGCGGCCUGAUGCAGCAACGCCGCGGGCGGGAUGACGGCCUUCGGGUUGUAAACCGCUUUCAGCAGGGGCGAAGCUUGUGGUGACGGUACCUGCAGAAGAAGCACCGGCUAACUACGUG
rnacentral:rRNA from 1 species